rnacentral:tRNA from 1 species
GUCAAGAAAGCGAAUAAUUGCGCCAAGUUUCGGCCUUGGUCUUCGGGUUUUCGUUCCCGUUUUGAUA